rnacentral:tRNA from 2 species
GAUGAGGUGGCUGAGUGGUUAAGGCGAUGGACUACUAAUCCGUUGUGCUUUGCAGGCAUCGGUUUGAAUCCCAUCUUCAUCG